rnacentral:lncRNA from 1 species
GAAGGAAGCUGCAGCCAUGGCCUCUCCAGGGCAGGGAGCUAAAGAAGAUGGUGAUGGUGUGCAAUGAGCUGGAUGAGCUGGAGAUUUCAGUUUGACAGGCCUGCAGUACUGAACUGACAACAUCUCCUGCCCUCCCCCUGCAGUGAAUCACCACCUCUCAAACACAACAACGGGUGCUGACUCCUCUGCCUGAUUGUUUAGGGAAGAUGCUGUACUUGGAGAGAAAAAACUCGUCUCAACCUGGAGAGGUGCAAAAACCCUUCUGAAGGGAUGAUGAAGAGCAGUGCCUGGGAUCAGUGGCAUAGGGCACUGUCACAAACAAGUCAGUUGCCUUCAAAAUGUUGUAAAAAAUAACCCCAAAUUGAGCAUCUGUUUGAGCUGAUGAAUCUGCUCGGCACUUGGAUCACAGAUGUGGUUAUUGCCAUGGGGCUCUGAUCCUCUUUGCUUUCUCUCCUGAAUGUGCCACCAGUCCCACUGAUGUGGUGGAGUGGUGAGUGAUAGAAAUCAAACCGUUCCUUCGAGUGGUUUGUGCCAGGUUGAAAUGGGGUUGGGGCCAUGAUGGUUACAGGGAUUCAGAGCCUCUCACCUUUAAAAUCCUUUGCAGAUGCCUGUAUUUGCAUGUACUGAUCUGAUGCAGCAUAUCAGAAGCUUAGACAAAAAACUGAAGUGUGGCCAUGACUCACACCUGAGGGGCAGACAGCUCCCUGUCUCAGGACAGAAGGAAAACCAGCCUCAUAUUCCUGGCACGGACCGAGCAAUAUUGCAGAAUGAGAACCAG